UACGAAGGGGGCUAGCGUUGCUCGGAAUUACUGGGCGUAAAGCGUGCGUAGGCGGUUCGUUAAGUCUGUUGUGAAAGCCCCGGGCUCAACCUGGGAAUGGCAAUGGAUACUGGCGAGCUAGAGUGUGUCAGAGAUGGUGGAAUUCCCGGUGUAGCGGGUGAAAUGCGUAGAGAAUCGGGAGGAACAUCAGUGGCGGAAGGCGGCCAUCUGGGGACCAACAACUGACGCCUGAGGCAAC
rnacentral:rRNA from 1 species